rnacentral:rRNA from 1 species
AGAAUCAACGCUGGCGGCGUGCCUAACACAUGCAAGUCGAACGAGAAAGUGGAGCAAUCCAUGAGUAAAGUGGCGAACGGGUGAGUAACACGUGACUAACCUACCCUUGAGUGGGGGAUAACCUAGGGAAACCUGGGCUAAUACCGCAUAAUAUCGAGAGAUCAAAGGUAGCAAUUCGCUUAAGGAGGGGUUCGCGGCUGAUUAGCUAGUUGGUGAGGUAAUGGCUCACCAAGGCUAUGAUCAGUAUCCGGCCUGAGAGGGCGCACGGACACACUGGAACUGAAACACGGUCCAGACUCCUACGGGAGGCAGCAGUGGGGAAUUUUGCGCGAAUGGGGGAAACCCUGACGCAGCAACGCCGCGUGGAGGAUGAAGUCCCUUGGACGUAAACUCCUUUCGAUCGGGACGAUAAUGACGGUACCGGAAGAAGAAGCCCGGCUAACUUCGCGCCAGCAGCCGC